UCAGCCAGAGAAGAGAGGGGGGAAAGGCGCGCCCUAUCUGGGCCGGCUGCUAGCUGGGCCGCGGUGUGGAGAGGGAGCCGAGGCGCGCGCUGUUGGUCUGCGGGGUGGGAAGGGGAGCUGGGCCUCCGGCUGCUGGGCCAACAGGCCAAGAGGGAAAGGGUUGGGCUGCGGGGAGAGGGAGGGGUUUUGUCUUUUCUUUUGUUCCUUUUCUUCUUCUUUUUGUUUUUUUUUUCAAAGCCAUUUCAAAACAAGUUUGAAAAUCAUUUUUAAAACAGUUUGACUUACCUUGAACUUUAAUUAAGUCCACACAAUUCAAUAAAACAAAUGCCCCAAAAAUGAAUGCACAAUCAUAUUGCUAAAUCCUAUAAUAAAUUUUAUUUUAAUGAAAAAUAUUAUUUUUCCUACAUUUUAUGAGCACCAAAAUACAAAAUUAAAUCAUUUUUCAUCUAUUUCAAAAGAAGU
rnacentral:lncRNA from 1 species